UCUACCCUUUCAGAGGCUUGGUGGGACACGAUGUCAACCAUCAAUGGUUCUGCUAAUCACCACCUAGAAAUACAAGGAGGGUGCUUUUCCUGAGACUUUCUUUCACUCAUUCAGCUUCUCCUAAAUGCCAGGUUCCCUAUCAGGUACUUAUACUUCAGAAAGAUUACAUAGUCACAGUCUCUGGUCUUAAGGAGCUCAGAGCCCAAGAGAGGAGAACGACAUGACUGCAGCUGGGUGUGGCAACCAAGCCAGUUCCUUAUCGCCUUCACUUUUAUCACUGGAGCAGAAUGAAAGAUCUGAGGCUACAUGAGCACUGAGCCAUUUUGAGAGUAA